AGUGUUUGUGAAACUCCUAUUUGCCACAGUGCCAGGUUUACUGACUGAAGCUCAUUAAACCACAGGGCAGCCCUUCAGAGUUUCCUGAGCUGCAGAACAGCUGAGUGAGUUCAUUCUGACCCAGGAAGCAUGCUUAUAGAGGCUUCUUAUCCAAGCCUCAAGACCUGUUACUUUUGUAGCAAAACAAUCACAUAAGCAUUUCAAAACUGAAAAGAUGAGAUUUCAACAGAACUUCAUGCUUAUGCCAGGAUGCUUCAGAUUAUGUUGUGAACCAGCCUCCCCUACCCACUUCAGGGGUACUUGGGCUGCAGCAAUGGGACCAAGACUUUAAGGGUGGGCUGUUAACUGACAUCCCGCAAGCAAUGAUUAAAAUAAACGAAAAAUUACAGGGAAUGUAAGAAAGAAGAGGAAAGUCACCCAUCAUCUCUCUACCCAAAUAUAAGCACUGUUCAUACUAUUUCCUUCCUGCCAGAGGCCUUUUGAUGGCCAUGAAAGACUAACAAGGAGGUCACCUGCGAUCGGGACCAUGGGACAGUAUCGUGCAUAACCCACCACCUGGGGUUUUUUACAAAAGCUUCCAAAGGAAGGCUAACCCUCUCAGCCCCUUCCCAAAGGCCCCUCCUAAGAAACAUGAAAUAAAAUAGAAU